GGCGCGAAAACUUUACAAUGCUGGCAACAGCGAUAAGGGAACCUCGAGUGCCAGGUUACAAAUCUGGCUGUCGAGAUGCCUAAAAAGCAUUUCAUAGCAAGGGCCGGGCAAGACCGGUGCCAGCCGCCGCGGUAACACCGGCGGCUCGAGUGGUAACCGUUAUUAUUGGGUCUAAAGGGUCUGUAGCCGGCCGGAUAAGUCUCUUGAGAAAUCUGGCAGCUUAACUGUCAGGCUUUCAGGAGAUACUGUCUGGCUCGAGGCCGGGAGAUGUGAGAGGUACUUCAGGGGUAGGGGUGAAAUCUUGUAAUCAUUGAAGGACCACCAGUGGCGAAGGCGUCUCACCAGAACGGACCUGACGGCAAGGGACGAAAGCUAGGGGCACGAACCGGAUUAGAUACCCUAGUAGUCC
rnacentral:rRNA from 1 species